rnacentral:misc_RNA from 1 species
GUGAAUCAUCGAAUUUUUGAACGCAAAUUGCACUCUCCUCGGAGAGUAUGCCUGUUUGAGGGUCAGCCUAUAAAAAAUCGACAUCGUUGCUGUUUCGCGUUGACGUUCGUCGGAAAUUGGGUCAGCUUAAAUCCUUUUGGUUUUAAGCGACUUAAAAAUUUCUUUUAGGUUCCAUGAACGUUUCUAUUAUUUAUUUCUUUACACGUUUAAGGUAUCGAUUUUAUUAGACGUGACCAUCAUAUUGGAUCGCGUCUAUAAUCUUUUAUUAACUGACCU